rnacentral:rRNA from 1 species
GAUCAUGGCUCAGAUUGAACGCUGGCGGCAGGCCUAACACAUGCAAGUCGAGCGGUAGCACAGAGAGCUUGCUCUCGGGUGACGAGCGGCGGACGGGUGAGUAAUGUCUGGGAAACUGCCUGAUGGAGGGGGAUAACUACUGGGAACGGUAGCUAAUACCGCAUAACGUCGCAAGACCAAAGUGGGGGACCUUCGGGCCUCAUGCCAUCAGAUGUCGCCANAGUGGUA